rnacentral:rRNA from 1 species
AGUAAUGUCUGGGAAACUGCCUGAUGGAGGGGGAUAACUACUGGAAACGGUAGCUAAUACCGCAUAACGUCGCAAGACCAAAGUGGGGGACCUUCGGGCCUCAUGCCAUCAGAUGUGCCCAGAUGGGAUUGGCUAGUAGGUGGGGUAACGGCUCACCUAGGCGACGAUCCCUAGCUGGUCUGAGAGGAUGACCAGCCACACUGGAACUGAGACACGGUCCAG